rnacentral:rRNA from 1 species
AUCGAUGAAGAACGCAGCGAAAUGCGAUAAGUAAUGUGAAUUGCAGAAUUUAGUGAAUCAUCGAAUCUUUGAACGCAUAUUGCGCCCUUUGGUAUUCCGAAGGGCAUGCCUGUUCGAGCGUCAUUAGCGACCGUCAAGCCUGGCUUGGUGUUUGGACGUCGGUCGUUUGAGACCGCGUCCCAAAGACAAUGGCGGUGUCGAUUCAGUCCUCGGUGCAACGAGCUCCACGAGCACGCACCGCACGGGCUAUCGGCGCCCGCCUAGACCCCUUAUUUUCUCAGGUUGACCUCGGAUCAGGUAGGUAUACCCGCUGAACUUAAGCAUAUCAAUAAGCGGAGGAAAAGAAACCAACAGGGAUUGCCUCAGUAACGGCGAGUGAAGCGGCAACAGCUCAAAUUUGAAAUCUGGCCUCACGGCCCGAGUUGUAAUUUGUAGAGGAUGUUUCGGGUACCGCCACGGUUUAAAUUUCUUGGAACAGAAUGUCAUAGAGGGUGAGAAUCCCGUCUUGAACCGCCGGUAGGGCCCGUGUGAAACUCCUUCGACGAGUCGAGUUGUUUGGGAAUGCAGCUCAAAAUGGGUGGUAAAUUUCAUCUAAAGCUAAAUAUUGGCCAGAGACCGAUAGCGCACAAGUAGAGUGAUCGAAAGAUGAAAAGCACUUUGAAAAGAGAGUUAAACAGUAUGUGAAAUUGUUGAAAGGGAAGCGCUUGCCACCAGACUUGCGCGUGACGGCUCCCCCGGCAUUCUUGCCGGGUCACUCCGUCACGUCCAGGCCAACAUCGGUUCGGGUGGUCGGUCAAAGGCUCCGGGAAUGUAUCUACCCUCCGGGGUCGACUUAUAGCCCGGGGUGUCAUGCGACCCACCGGGACCGAGGAACGCGCUUCGGCUCGGAUGUUGGCGUAAUGGUGGUCAGCGACCCGUCUUGAAACA